AGGCCGCCGGGGCUGGGGCGCGGGGACUCAUGCUGCCACAUCCGUGACAGCUACAAGCCUGUCAGUGCCUAGGCGGAGUGAGCACACGGCGUUGCUUCAAGAUGCCGCGGCUGAAAGCGCUCAUCGGGUUGUCUCACCAUUUCCCUUCACUCUGGCACAAAUGAGGGGCUGCUGCGGACUCCCACGGCGUCGCCAGGUCUGGGCACGGCCCCUCUCACCUCGGGCAUCCCUCAGGCUCACUCCUCUCGAGGUCUCAGUUGCAGCCAUGCAGCCCUGGCAUUAGAGGGUGAAAUCUCUUCACAUGCUGGGAGUGAUGAGAUCGGUGCCGCCGAUGGAGAUGAGCCAGGAUAUCUAAUGCUGCAAAAUGCCUUUGAGAGCAUCUGCCCUCUCAUCAGCACACACAACUGCUCUCCAUCUGUGCCAUUCUCCAUACUCUGGGACUGCAUCACCCCUCCACCAAUUAGGCCAUUAUGCUGCUAAGGACAAUUUCUGGAGGUUGCUGCCUCUGACCUUUCUGCAGAGAAACCCAAGCCCACGCUCUCGUGUCUCAAUGCUGUGACUCCUCUGAGGAUCUGGCUCUUGAGGGAGGAGGGUCACUACCAGAAUACCAAGCACUCCCAAUUGCCACCCAGCUCCAGCAGCCUUGGAAGCAGAAGAAAUCCUCCUGUAUUUUGUGAUACUUAGUGGAUUUGCAAAAUCUUAGGCUUUCCCUAUUUUUCAGUGUCCUUUUUAUUUAAUUAUGGAAUAAACCAAUUGAAAAUAUUCAAA